rnacentral:rRNA from 1 species
GACGUAGGGCGCGAGCGUUGUCCGGAUUUAUUGGGCGUAAAGAGCUCGUAGGCGGCUCGUUGCGUCAACCGUGAAAACCCGGGGCUUAACUUCGGGCUUGCGGUUGAUACGGGCGGGCUGGAGUUCGGUAGGGGAGACUGGAAUUCCUGGUGUAGCGGUGAAAUGCGCAGAUAUCAGGAAGAACACCCGUGGCUAAGGCGGCUCUCUAGUACGGUACUGACGCUGAGACGCGAAAGCGUGGGGAGCGAACAGG